GUUGAAGGCGACAAUCCACCGUACACUUAAGAGAGACUGGAAAACCAAAAGAGAAAAGAGUGGAGAAAACUGAGGCAGAAAGAGAAGUAGAAUGAAUGCCUUAGUAGAAAUCAGAAAAUAUCCAUAUCCAAAAUAGAAAUUACAAUGAUUGAUUAACCUAUAAUCUUUCUAACUAAAACUAGGCAAGAGGAUUCAUGAAGUAUGUAAAUUCAGAAAGAGCUUUGAGCAAGUACAAUUGCAGCCUAUUUUGCUUCCACAAUAGCAAUGAGCUAACAAGACAAAAGGGGAAACGGGAAGGCGAUGGGGGUGGAAUGGGGAAUAUUGCCAUCAGUACAGAUUCCAAACCUGCCAAAUAUCUCCAGCCUAAAUUGAAAUCCUACAAGGCAGCAACUUCUUCUACUAGGUAGGGGACUCUCACCCACAUUUCUAAAAGCCUGUCCCUUCACUCCUUCAGUUUUAUUGCAUGACUAGAUUUGAGCCCGAAUUUUAGUGUUUAAAUUUAUAUUUAUGCAACUUGAUUUCGUCUAGUCCUUUCAGGGGGAAAAAAAAAGGUCACAUUAGAACUAACACUAAAUUAUGCAACUAAAAUUAAAUCGGAAAAAAUUCUGAAAAUCCUAAAAAGAAGUAUUAGUAUAAUUUAUUUAAAUUGUUAAAUUCAAGCUUCUAAUUAUUUAUAAAUUCCAGUGGUCAAAAUGCAGAUAAGGUACAGAAACAUACAGUAAUGUAAUCAAUUCCACAUCCGAUUUUCUUCUCAGACUCUGGAUGGUAAGGAAGCAACCUCUCCAGAAUAGUCUUUUCGUGCUCUGGACUCAAUCUAUCUCCACUUCCAUAUCUGC
rnacentral:lncRNA from 1 species